GACCUAGUGGCGAACGGGUGAGUAUCACGUGAGAAACCAACCCCGGUCUCUGGGAUAACAGUUGGAAACGACUGCUAAUACUGGAUGUCGUCGUACCCUCGCAUGGGGGGAUGACGAAAGGGUUACCGGAUCGGGACGGUCUCGCGGCCUAUCAGCUUGUUGGGGAGGUAACGGCUCACCAAGGCUUCGACGGGUAGCUGGUCUGAGAGGAUGAUCAGCCACACUGGGACUGAGACACGGCCCAGACUCC
rnacentral:rRNA from 1 species